rnacentral:rRNA from 1 species
GACGAACGCUGGCGGCGUGCUUAACACAUGCAAGUCGAACGGAAAGGCCCUGCUUUUGUGGGGUGCUCGAGUGGCGAACGGGUGAGUAACACGUGAGUAACCUGCCCUUGACUUUGGGAUAACUUCAGGAAACUGGGGCUAAUACCGGAUAGGAGCUCCUGCUGCAUGGUGGGGGUUGGAAAGUUUCGGCGGUUGGGGAUGGACUCGCGGCUUAUCAGCUUGUUGGUGGGGUAGUGGCUUACCAAGGCUUUGACGGGUAGCCGGCCUGAGAGGGUGACCGGCCACAUUGGGACUGAGAUACGGCGCAGACUCCUACGGGAGGCAGCAGUGGGGAAUAUUGCACAAUGGGGGGAAGCCUGAUGCAGCAACGCCGCGUGCGGGAUGACGGCCUUCGGGUUGUAAACCGCUUUCGCCUGUGACGAAGCGUGAGUGACGGUAAUGGGUAAAGAAGCACCGGCUAACUACGUG